rnacentral:rRNA from 1 species
AGAGUUUGAUCCUGGCUCAGGACGAACGCUGGCGGCGUGCCUAAUACAUGCAAGUAGAACGCUGAAGAAAGGAGCUUGCUUCUUUUGGAUGAGUUGCGAACGGGUGAGUAACGCGUAGGUAACCUGCCUUGUAGCGGGGGAUAACUAUUGGAAACGAUAGCUAAUACCGCAUAACAGCUUUUGACACAUGUUAGAAGCUUGAAAGAUGCAAUUGCAUCACUACGAGAUGGACCUGCGUUGUAUUAGCUAGUAGGUAGGGUAACGGCCUACCUAGGCGACGAUACAUAGCCGACCUGAGAGGGUGAUCGGCCGCACUGGGACUGAGACACGGCCCAGACUCCUACGGGAGGCAGCAGUAGGGAAUCUUCGGCAAUGGGGGCAACCCUGACCGAGCAACGCCGCGUGAGUGAAGAAGGUUUUCGGAUCGUAAAGCUCUGUUGUAAGAGAAGAACGUGUGUGAGAGUGGAAAUUUCACACAGUGACGGUAACUUACCAGAAAGGGACGGCUAACUACGUGCCAGCAGCCGCGGUAAUACGUAGGUCCCGAGCGUUGUCCGGAUUUAUUGGGCGUAAAGCGAGCGCAGGCGGUUUAAUAAGUCUGAAGUUAAAGGCAGUGGCUUAACCAUUGUUCGCUUUGGAAACUGUUAAACUUGAGUGCAGAGGGGGGAGUGGAAUUCCAUGUGUAGCGGUGAAAUGCGUAGAUAUAUGGAGGAACACCGGUGGCGAAAGCGGCUCUCUGGUCUGUAACUGACGCUGAGGCUCGAAAGCGUGGGGAGCAAACAGGAUUAGAUACCCUGGUAGUCCACGCCGUAAACGAUGAGUGCUAGGUGUUAGGCCCUUUCCGGGGCUUAGUGCCGCAGCUAACGCAUUAAGCACUCCGCCUGGGGAGUACGACCGCAAGGUUGAAACUCAAAUGAAUUGACGG